AACUACUCCUUCCGUUCCAUAAAAAAUCAAUUUAGUACUGGAUGUAACACAUUCUAGUACUACGAAUCUAGACAUAUCUCUGUCCAGAUUUGUUGUACUAGAAUGUAUCACAUCUAAUUCUAAAUUCGUUUUUUUCGAAACGGAGGGAGU
rnacentral:misc_RNA from 1 species